UACGUAGGGUGCGAGCGUUAAUCGGAAUUACUGGGCGUAAAGCGUGCGCAGGCGGUUUUGUAAGCCAGAUGUGAAAUCCCCGGGCUUAACCUGGGAAUGGCAUUUGGGACUGCAAGGCUCGAGUGCGGCAGAGGAGACUGGAAUUCCUGGUGUAGCAGUGAAAUGCGUAGAUAUCAGGAGGAACACCGGUGGCGAAGGCGGGUCUCUGGGCAACAACUGACGCUGAGGAGCGAAAGCGUGGGGAGCGAACAGG
rnacentral:rRNA from 1 species